UACGUAGGGUGCAAGCGUUGUCCGGAAUUAUUGGGCGUAAAGAGCUCGUAGGCGGUCUGUCGCGUCGGAUGUGAAAACCCAGGGCUCAACCCUGGGCCUGCAUUCGAUACGGGCAGACUAGAGUUCGGUAGGGGAGACUGGAAUUCCUGGUGUAGCGGUGAAAUGCGCAGAUAUCAGGAGGAACACCGGUGGCGAAGGCGGGUCUCUGGACUGUAACUGACGCUGAGGCGCGAAAGCGUGGGGAGCAAACAGG
rnacentral:rRNA from 1 species